UAAACAUCCUGGGUUACCGGACUUCCAUUUUUGUUCUGCCAGCACUUUGAAAGCCAUGGGCCUGAUACAGGAGGAGUCUGAAUAAUCUGCGUCCAUUUUCAUGCGCGUCCGUGUGAAGAGACCACCAAACAGGCUUUGUGUGAGCAACAUGGCUGUUUAUUUCACCUGCGUGCAGGCGGGCUGAGUCCGAAAAGAGUCAGGGAAGGGAGAUAAGGGUGGGGCCGUUUUAUAGGAUUUGGGUAGGUAAAGGAAAAUGACAGUCAAAGGGGGUUUGUUCUCUGGUGGGUAGGAGUGGGGGUCUCAAGGUGCUCAGUGGGCAGGAGUGGGGGCGGCAAGGUGCUCAGUGGGGGUGUCAAGUUAAUGUUUAUUUACUGACUUACUUCAAUAUAGAAUAUUUCUUUUUUUCUUUAAAAAGAGUGCUAAGAAUAUUUCCGAGCUUUGCAGGAUGCAUCUCAUUUGGGUCUCUUUUUUCUUACUGGGGCAAAGUAAAUAUACAAAAUGAACCCCACACCAUUUAUAUCAGAGUAAGAAACACAAACUUUAGAUGUGAUUUUAAUAUGAUGCAUGUGGGGAAAGGAUUCCACAGCAACUGCUUAGUACCAUCUUUCAUUUAUUUUUUUGCCUAGAAUCCUGGACAGGGUGGGUCAUUUUCUUCACGCAUUGCUCCUGUUCACAUUUUUUUUUCUUUCUUUAAAAUUGCGGAGGCUUGGCUGUUGCUAUUUGGUGUUGCUUGACCCUUCUGGUCUCGCAAUGACUCCCGGGGGUGAAGGAGAGCUUCCUAAAGUUCUGAAGGAGAAAAUUUAAUCAGCAAAGUAAUCAUUUCUGCUGUGAUGGAAAAAAGGAGGCCGGUAUGAAUGACAAAACAGCUGUGGACCACCAAAAAAGUCAACUGGAAUUGGAAGGAGGGAGACCUAAAAAAAAAAAU
rnacentral:lncRNA from 10 species